UUUUUGUUUUUUUUCACAUGGAUCUGCAUUAAUUUUUAUCUGCUGAAUAUUAGAUUCUUUUAAGAUUGGAAAUUUUGUAUAAAGUUACUUUGUGUUUUUAUUUUCUUUUUUAUUUUUUUCGCUAGCUAUUACAAUGUAUUGCUUUGUGUUAUAGGUUACUUUAUACAACAAUUUAGUUUGUUGAUGUAGUGCAGAUGAACUCUGUCACUGUUGAGUCGAGGCCAAAGUGCUUGGUUGGCAUUAUUUUUUAUGGUUACCCUUCUUAUUGUAGAAUGUAUGCAGAAGAAACAAGUUACUACUUUUUCUCUAGGUGAUUGAUGAAAUAAAUGGAGCUCUUGGUGAUGGCAAAGGUGCUGUGGAGGUUAUUCUAAAGAUGAUAAGAAGUCUGAUACAGGGAAGGAGAAUUUUCCAAAUGAAGAAAAUCACAAAAGUACAUAGAAAGUUUAUCAUUCAUAUGGAGUUUCCUUUUCAUGAUUCCCUGGAAAAUGCAGGUGAUCCUUGACUACCAUGGCUGAUGUUUAAUUGCUGUGACAAUUUCAAGCCUUUCCAUUUCUGAUGGGGAACAUUGGGUCAAGUUGGGAUUGAUACCAACAGAGGCUUUUGUAGGAACUGUAAUAUUCUCUAGGAGGUGUAAUAUUCUCUUGUUUUUAUUCAUAAAACACUUGUACAAUUUCCUCUUGCUAAUUCAGAUUUUGUUUUUAGUUUUUGUACUUGAUUCUCAUGUCAAUAUGA